rnacentral:rRNA from 1 species
GACGAACGCUGGCGGCGUGCUUAACACAUGCAAGUCGAACGCUGAAGACCUGGCUUUUGUUGGGUUGGAUGAGUGGCGAACGGGUGAGUAACACGUGAGUAACCUGCCCUCUUCUUUGGGAUAACGCCCGGAAACGGGUGCUAAUACUGGAUAUUCACUGAUCUUCGCAUGGGGGUUGGUGGAAAGGUUUGUUCUGGUGGGGGAUGGGCUCGCGGCCUAUCAGCUUGUUGGUGGGGUGAUGGCCUACCAAGGCUUUGACGGGUAGCCGGCCUGAGAGGGUGACCGGUCACAUUGGGACUGAGAUACGGCCCAGACUCCUACGGGAGGCAGCAGUGGGGAAUAUUGCACAAUGGGCGAAAGCCUGAUGCAGCGACGCCGCGUGAGGGAUGGAGGCCUUCGGGGUGUAAACCUCUUUCGCGCAUGGUCAAGCCGCAACUGUGGGUUGUGGUGAGGGUAGUGGGUAAAGAAGCGCCGGCUAACUACGUG